ensembl:snoRNA SNORA70 Small nucleolar RNA SNORA70
AGGCAGAAAGAAAGAAGAGAGAAAGACUGCCCUCCCCAAGGUGCCCGGUGUGCAGUGGCUGCAAACAGCAGCCUCCUGGCUAGUGCAUGCAGCCUGUUGCUUGUAUAGGCUGCCCUAAGGGACCCUGUAGACAGCC